CAAGAGGGUGGCAGUGGUGGCACCGUAUCGCCGGGCAUUUUUCUCUCGGACACUCAUUUUAUAUUUAGACCGUCCGGUCACGACGCGAUGGCUACUUUUCGUUACGCCGGCUGUUUCGUCUGAAGCUCGCGUGACGCAUGCGCAUUACUCUCGCGUGACGCAUGCGCAUAACUCUCGCGCGCGUCUGCCAUUCCUGCGACGACUUCGCGCGCUAACCUGAUAAUAUUUCGUCCGCUACGUUGUUGUCUUUGUCGCUUGAGGAGACUGAUCGAUGAAAGCAGAAACGAGACGGUGAUUUACACGUGCCAUUUAGUUUUUUCUCGAGUUUUGUCCGGUUAUUUCAUUCCAAAGUUUAUAUCAACGCGUUGCUUUCUAUGCAGAUGGAUUUUAUUGUCAUAGGAGACCAACAAUGGAACUUACCGAUGUGGUAAUCUGGAGGUGUACGAUAACUGUCAUUUGCUAGUGAUUUACGCCAUCUCUGAAUCAGAAGAUUUCGACCAACAGCGAGAAGGGUGCAUACAAUCUAAGAGAGGCUGUACCCAAGGGUCGUUCACCCCGUGAUUCUGGCUACGAGACGCCAUAGAGUUUAUGGUGGAUAUGGCGAUGCCGGAAGUGGUGCCAGGCAGACGUCUAAGGGGGAAUCAGAGUUGUUAUUGGGAACAUCGUCAUGGGGAAACUGUCCCUGGCGUGAUCAAAAUUCUAUCUAUGAGAUGUUUCUGGGGGUCUCUCAGGCGAUCACGAGUCUCAACAACUUUGCUGCUUUAGGAUGUAUAUCACCCCCUUGUUAUUGGUUGUUAGAAAUUCGCAUAAAUAUAAAUAUCAAGUGAUUUCAUGGUGUAAGA